UAUAUACAUAUAUAUAUAUAUAUAUAUAUAUAUAUAUAUAUAUAUAUAUAUAUAUAAUCAUAUCCUUCAAUUCUUGAUCAUAUUAUAUUGAUCAGAUCAAGCACUGCUUAAUUGGUUUGUUGACUAGUAGAGUCUUGCAGAUGAGCAGAUGGACCAUCCAUAUAUCAGCAUUCAAUUGGGGAGCUGAGCCAACAUCUAUCUAUCUCAUCUUCUAUCUUUUGCUUUUGAAUUGGAUCUAACUAGCUAGCUGAUCAGCUAGCUAGGAUAUAUAGUAAGCUAAGGUAUGUUUGUAUGUAGAUCUUGAAGUAAUAUAUGGUGCUAAGUACAUAGAUAGCUUCCAUAUAUCUGCACUUAUUGUGCUCAUAUCAUCCAUGGCCGAUCCAGAGGAUCCCAUCCGUCUGCAAUAUAUAUUUCCAAUUUCAACCUCAGCUCAAACCUAAGAGUCUAUCACUAUUCAUUGUUCUUGCCCUGAAGAUUGAUGAAGAAGAUAAAUCAUGAAAUGCGCCACAUCUGGUCAAGACACCUAAUUUUAUAAUAGCACAACAUGGUGGGUGGGAUUUGGUGUUCAUAAAAAUCACAACAUUAUGCAACUACAUUUCUACAUGCACUGAUGCAUAAGCCAAUCAAAUACAUUCAAAAUUCAUUGCCACCAAAAAAAGUAUAGUUCAAACGUCAUUUCAUUGCAAUUGAGAAGUUAAAUAGAAGUGCAACUUCAACACCAAAUGCAUUUUCUAAACCUCAUGUAAUCAAUUUGUCUUAUUAUAUUAAUUAAUGAUGUUUUGACUA